UGGGGCUAAUCCCCGAUGGGUGAGAGGGCCUGGAAUGGUCUCUCNNUNNAAGGGCAUCGGGAUCAUGCUUCUCGGCGUCGCCCAAGGAUGGGACCGCGUCCGAUCAGGUUGUUGGUGGGGUAACGGCCCACCAAGCCUAUAACCGGUACGGGCCCUGAGAGGGGGAGCCCGGAGAUGGGGACUGAGACAAGGCCCCAGGCCCUACGGGGUGCAGCAGGCGCGAAACCUCCGCAAUGCGCGAAAGCGUGACGGGGUUAUCCCGAGUGUCGUCCGCUGAGGAUGACUUUUUCCCAGUGUAAGGAACUGGGGGAAUAAGGGGAGGGCAAGUCUGGUGUCAGCCGCCGCGGUAAUACCAGCUCCCCGAGUGGUGGGGACGAUUACUGGGCCUAAAGCGUUCGUAGCCGGCUUGGCAAGUCUUCCGUUAAAUCUGAUGAUUUAAUCGUUGGACCGCGGGAGAUACUACCAAGCUAGGGGGCGGGAGAGGCCGGCGGUAGUCCCGGGGUAGGGGUGAAAUCCUAUAAUCCCGGGAGGACCACCAGUGGCGAAGGCGGCCGGCCAGAACGCGCCCGACGGUGAGGGACGAAAGCUGGGGGAGCAAACCGGAUUAGAUACCCGGGUAGUCCCAGCCGUAAACGAUGCGGGCUAGGUGUUGGAACGGCUACGUGCCGUUCCAGUGCCGCAGGGAAGCUAUUAAGCCCGCCGCCUGGGAAGUACGGCCGCAAGGCUGAAACUUAAAGGAAUUGGCGGGGGAGCACCACAAGGGGUGAAGCCUGCGGUUUAAUUGGNUUCNACGCCGGA
rnacentral:rRNA from 1 species